rnacentral:rRNA from 1 species
CCUACGGGAGGCAGCAGUGAGGAAUAUUGGUCAAUGGGCGGGAGCCUGAACCAGCCACGCCGCGUGAGGGAAGAAGGUACAGCGUAUCGUAAACCUCUUUUGUCAGGGAACAAAGGCGGGGACUAGUCCCCGGAUGAGGGUACAUGAAGACAAAGCAUCGGAUAACUACGUGCCAGCAGCAGCGGUAAUACGGAGGAUGCGAGCGUUAUCCGGAUUUGUGGGGUUUAACGGGUGCGCAGUGGGCCUGUUAAGUCAGAGGUAAAAGCUCGGGUCUCAACCCCGGCGAGCCGUUGAAACUGGCGGGCUAGAGUGGGAGAGAAGUACGCGGAAUGCGCGGUGUAGCGGUGAAAUGCGUAGAUAUCGGGCAGAACCCCGAUGGCGAAGGCAGCGUACCGGCUCCACACUGACGCUGAGGCACGAAAGCGUGGGUAUCGAACAGGAUUAGAUACCCGAGUAGUC